AUUGAACGCUGGCGGCAUGCCUUACACAUGCAAGUCGAACGGCAGCACGGGAGCAAUCCUGGUGGCGAGUGGCGAACGGGUGAGUAAUAUAUCGGAACGUGCCCAGUAGUGGGGGAUAGCCCGGCGAAAGCCGGAUUAAUACCGCAUACGACCUGAGGGUGAAAGCGGGGGAUCGCAAGACCUCGCGCUAUUGGAGCGGCCGAUAUCAGAUUAGCUAGUUGGUGGGGUAAAGGCCUACCAAGGCUACGAUCUGUAGCUGGUCUGAGAGGACGACCAGCCACACUGGAACUGAGACACGGUCCAGACUCCUACGGGAGGCAGCAGUGGGGAAUAUUGGGCAAUGGGGGAAACCCUGACCCAGCAACGCCGCGUGAAGGAAGAAGGCCUUCGGGUUGUAACUUCUUUGUAUCAGGGAAGAAACGAAAUAGACGGUACCUGAAGAACAAGACCACGGCUAACUACGUGCCAGCAGCCGCGGUAAUCUGUUGUCGU
rnacentral:rRNA from 1 species